AUUGAACGCUGGCGGCAGGCCUAACACAUGCAAGUCGCGCGCGCUGCGGACGGGUGAGUAAUGUCUGGGGAUCUGCCUGAUGGAGGGGGAUAACUACUGGACACGGUAGCUAAUACCGCAUACCCUCAGAUUAACCCAUAUGGGAUUAGCUUUUAGGUGAGGUAACGGCUCACCUAGGCGACGAUCCCUAGCUGGUCUGAGAGGAUGAUCAGCAACACUGGGACUGAGACACGGCCCAGACUCCUACGGGAGGCAGCAGUGGGGAAUAUUGCACAAUGGGCGCAAGCCUGAUGCAGCCAUGCCGCGUGUAUGAAGAAGGCCUUCGGGUUGUAAAGUACUUUCAGUCGGGAGGCGUUACCGACAGAAGAAGCACCGGCUAACUCCGUGCCAGCAGCCGCGGUAAUUC
rnacentral:rRNA from 1 species